ensembl:lincRNA
UGGAACUGCAGGGUCCUGUGCAGUUGUCACCUGACGCUGGAGGAACUGCCGCGCUGCUCCCCACAGGCUGUGCCACCAGCGCCCGAGCCCCACUUCUCCGUCACAACCUCCUGGUGGGGUGACGGGCCUCGCUGUGGCUUUGGUUUGCAUUUCCCCAGGGGCGAGCGAGGUUGAGCACCGAUCCUUGUGUUUGCCCUUCAAGUGUCCUUUGGAGAAAGGUCUGCUCCAGUCCCGUUCCUGGUUUCUGCGGGGUCUUGUCUUGUUGGUGUUGAGCCGGGCGAGUCCCCUUAGGUCCUGGGUGCUGGGCUCUCACCCGGCACACGGCUUCUAACUGCAUCUUCCACCCGGUGCACUUCCUCUUCCCCUUUUUUUUAAUGUUAAUUUUUUUUAUCCCCCGCCCCCCAUUAUCUGCUCUCUCUGGCCAUUCGCUCUGUGUUCUUCUGUGACCGCUCAUAGUCUUGUCAGCGGCACUGGGAAUCUGUUUCUUUUUUUUUGUUGUGUCAGCUCUCCGUGUGGGCGGCGCCAUUCCUGGGCAGGCUGCACUUUCUUUCGCGCUGGGCGGCUCUCCCUAAGGGGCGCACUCCUUGCUCGUGGGGCUCCCCUACGCGGGGGACACCCCUGCGUGGCACGGCACUCCUUGUGCGCAUCAGCACUGCAUGUGGGCCAGCUCCACACAGGUCAAGGAGGCCUGGGGUUUGAACCCUGGACCCCCAUGUGGUAGACGGACGCUCAGUUGAGCCUUGUCCGCUUCCCCCUCUUUUUCUUGAUGACGCCCUUUGGUGAACCAAUUUUAAGGUCUGGGGAGGCCACGUCUCUCAGACUUCCUCUCGUUGCUCCUGCUUGUGGCGUCCCGUCUAAGAACCAGCGCCAAGCCCGCUCACGAGCUGUCCUGCUUCCUUCCGCGCUCUUGGCUCUUGGCAGCGCUUGGCCCUGGGUCUGCUCUGAGCCAUUUUUGUACCUGGUGCAGAGGCCCGACCUGGUCCUUUGGCGGCGAGCGUCCUGGAGUGGGUGGGCGCCUGCCUGCCAGCAGCGGUCCAGGGCCCUCGGGCCGCUUCCGCCGCCUCCGGGGAUGCGCUGGGCCCCGGAAGGGCUGGGAGUGGCCGCGGCGGGGGCUGGGCUCAUUGGCCUUGGCUCCCGGGGCUCUGCUGCCAGCAGGCCGGAGCCUGGGUGUGUCCCUCGCCCUCCGCGUCCCCUCACUGCCCUGCAUCCCCGCCCUGCGUCCCUCGCCCCCCGCGUCCCUCGCCCCUGCGUCCCCUCGGUCACCCCAGCCAGCGGGUGGUCCCCAGCCCUCUGCUGCGCAGUGGGCUCCGGCCUGGGCUCUGCACUGCCCUCGGGACUCUGGCCCGCCCAGGGGGUCUGCGCAGUGAGGCCGCGCGGCCCUUGCGCCACCCACAGUCCUUUCCUCACUGGAGUCUCGUGCCCAGUUGCUCUCCCAGUCAGACUGAAGGUUCUAAUUAACCAGGAAACUCUUGUUGGGAAACCCGUCAAUUUUCUGAACACCUCGUGGGCUUUGCCUCUCUUUCCUCGCUGGUUUNNNNNNNNNNNNNNNNNNNNNNNNNNNNNNNNNNNNNNNNNNNNNNNNNNNNNNNNNNNNNNNNNNNNNNNNNNNNNNNNNNNNNNNNNNNNNNNNNNNNNNNNNNNNNNNNNNNNNNNNNNNNNNNNNNNNNNNNNNNNNNNNNNNNNNNNNNNNNNNNNNNNNNNCCAGGCGGGGGCCAGGGACCACGGGGCGGCCUCGUGGGUGCAGCCGGUGGUCACAGCACCAAGGGCCAGGGAGGGACGGUCCCCGGAGCAGGGCCUGGCCCCAGCGCGGCCCCGAGUGCGAGGCGCACAGAGCAUUCCUGAACUGGAGGCAGUGGGGGGCGCUUCCGGGCGAGCACCCAGCUCAGCAGCCGAGGGUCAAGAGAGACCCCCCAGGACAGGCCUCUGCAUGGAGAGCAGCCCCCGGGGCUGUCCAGUGGGCCUGACGCCCGCAGCGAGGGGGCAGCUUCACCCCUGGAGAGCGCCAGUGCCAGGGGCAUCGGGGCGGGCGCCAGCCACGCGGGACAUGCCAGCCACGCGGCGAUGCUCCGGCACUUUCUCAUGCCAGCGAGGAAGGCGGCCCGCCGGUGGGCGCCGCGUGCCUAGCGUCCGAGGCCGUGCUGGACGGCGGCACCCGGGCAGGAGACGGGACGGGCGGCGUGGCCCGGCACCCCGCGGCCGGCCCCUCCGAGGGCGUCCUGCAGUGUUUGUCCUGGUGCCCGCGCGCCUGCCGAGCAGCGCUUUCACGGAAAGGUCCUGGCUGCAGCAGGACGCUGGGUGCUGCCCGCGGGGGCCGGGGCGGGGGCGGGCGCCGCUGGGCCCCUCAGGCUCUGCAGGCCCCGCGCCCUGUGCUGGCUCGGUCCCGGGCGGGGAGGAGGCGGGCUACUGCCCGCAUGCCGCCUGAGCUGCCCCGUGGCCGGAAGCCCCUCUCGCCCCGCAGCCCGGGGUCUGCACCGAGGGUCUGGGCUGCAGGGAGCCCUGUGCGCGCCCGGCUGCUGGGCAGGGGGCGCCCCACUGCUCUGGAAGCGACUUCGAGGCGGCUGCAGCGCGACACGAGGCUGGAGCGGUCCCUCCUGGCUGCGGGCUGGGGGAUUCAAUGACAGGCCGUGCCAGCCCCCCUGCCCCCACCUCCUGGUGCGUCGGGGCUCCCCGGGGGGUCCUCUCUGCGUGCGUUGCCCCCCGCCCCUUUGGGGAGGAAGUGCUCGGCCGGAUCCUUGGCUGUGGACCACCCGGCCCCUCGGCCACGCGCCGUUGCUGCGUUUGUUCUGCUGUUUCCUUUGCUCACCGGCUGGCGGCGGCUUCCUCACGACACGGCCUGCACCCCCACACUCCAGGGUGUCCCCGAGCCCUCCGGGGCUUGUCUCCUGCUGGUUACCCCACAGGGUUUCGGGGUGCUGAGGCGGACCCUCGCCCCACAGGUGGCGCGCUGGCCUCCGUCCGGGGAGCUGUGGCUGUCGGCCGCCCGGGGGACUCGCGGGAGAGCACGUGGCGGCCAGCAGCACGAGGGGCCGCAGUUCCACGAGCGCUUCCUGCGCUGUCCUGGAGGGACGCGGGGUUCUGGGUCCCUUGGGCCUGGGUCUCCAGCAGCCUCUGGUGCCCGGUAGAGCCGGGGGGGCGCGGUCGCGGUGGCGGCGCCUCCGGCUCCUGCAGUCACGGUCCAGCUUGGGCGCGACGCCCUGGAGGGGCUUUCACAGGACGGGCCUGCAGUGCCCGGGGGUUUUGGUAACUGUCAGCCGCCCCGGGAGCGCGCAGCCUGGCAGCGGGAACCCCGUGGAGCUGGGACGGGGCGGCCCGCGGCCCUGCGUGCGGCUCCUGGAGCAGGGUGUGCGGUGGGCGAGCGAGGGCAGCCUGGGCCAGCGAGGCGAGCAGUGCCCGCGCCAGUGCGUGCCCCCGUCCACUGCGCUGCCCGCAGGGCUCGGCCGCCAGGUGGGCGCCCGGUGCAAAGCCUCAGGGACUGGGGACGUGGUCCCUGUGCCCGGCCUGGUGGCUCCGGGGCCUCUUCGGGGGCUGCUUCCGAACGCUGCGUGUCCCAGGCCCUGCCCCAGCCCAGCGCGGGAGCCUCAGGCCGGGACGAUGUGCUGGCGGCUCGCCCCGAGCCCUGGCUGCCCCAGCCCCGGCCGUCCUGGAGCGCGGCGGCCUGAGCCGUCACCCCUGCCCUGGCCUGAGCCGCCCCCUUCCGGGCCCUGACGCGAGGUCCCCAGGCCAGGACCCCUCCGGCUGCCUGAGCUUCGGGCAGACCGCCCCCCACGGCUGCACCGGGGCCUGUGCUUGAGGGGGGGGCAGCCCCGACAACCCCGGCGACCGUGCAACACGGGAUUCCUCAGCGGGGCCCUCGCACCCCAGGAGGCCACCCCGGGGCCGCGCCGCACCUCCUCCCUUGUGAAGGGGCAUGGGGCGGCCUCUCCGUUCA